rnacentral:lncRNA from 1 species
UCGAAUGAAAAUAAGUUGCAAAAAUUAAAAUUUAUUAUUCACAAUAAUAAUAAUAAUUCCUUACUUUAUUGGCAACAAAUGACCAUGUGAGUGACCAAACAUAAGUUCAACAAAGCUUGAAAUGUCAGUCACAAAAUUCUCCAACAAUGUGGAUGUUGAAGCAAGCUAAAUUUGUUUGACAAGAAAAGCAAUACAACAUUUAUCCUGAUGUAAAAGGCUAAGCCAAAGAAAUGUCUGACCUAUGCAUAAAUUAAAAUACAUUUAUUUAUGCACAAAUAUACGGUUCUACCAAAACUAGUGCACAGACAAAUCUGCACAACAAUUCAUCUAACAAAUGUACUUUCCUGUAUAACCCAAAAGUUCUAAAGCCUUGAUAAGCAAGUUUCAAUUUAUUAUGUAAAUAAAUAUAGUACUCUUGUAUUUUCAGUCUCUAUCUCUAUACCAAUCAGCAAAGUCUUUGAUCCUUUGCUUGGCACUCUGCAUGAAGUGGGAAAAAGAAGUGUGAUG